UACGAGGGGGGCAAGCGUUGUCCGGAAUCAUUGGGCGUAAAGAGCGCGUAGGCGGCCCUGUAAGUCCGCUGUGAAAGUCAAGGGCUCAACCCUGGGAUGCCGGUCGAUACUGCCGGACUAGAGUUCGGAAGAGGCGAGUGGAAUUCCCGGUGUAGCGGUGAAAUGCGCAGAUAUCGGGAGGAACACCUAUGGCGAAGGCAGCUCGCUGGGACGUUACUGACGCUGAGAACGCGAAAGCGUGGGGAGCAAACAGG
rnacentral:rRNA from 1 species